rnacentral:lncRNA from 1 species
UUGGACCUUCUGCACUGCAUCUUCUUUAUCCUUCAGUUCAGAGCUUCCUGUACACCUAAAAUCUUAACAUAAGCUAAGAUUUGUUCUUUCCUGUUGUAAUACCAAUGUUCACAUCAGAAAUUUAGACAAAUAAUAUCUUUUGGAAAUGAGUUCAAAAAUAAAUCGUUGUAAGCUUAAAGCGGACAAUAUUAUACUAAUCGGUAGAAAUAUAUUUGGACAUCAUCUUAUAAAUCUCAACAUUUCCAAAGAGUGUAAUCUAUUUUCCCAUCAUAGGUAUAUUUCUACUCUUCCCAUCAAAGUGCAAGCUUGCCAAUUGUCAUCAUCUGGUAUUCUGGUUAGUGAAUAGAACCCAGCUUUAACAAUGUAGUCUGCUUCUUGAGUUGGGUUGGAUUUCCUGUUGGCCUCACAGCCCAGUAAGAUAUAUUGCAUGAGUCAUUCUAAUGAGCUUUUAAAAUUGGGCAAUUGUCAAUAAUAACACAUUUUUUAAGUUUAUGUUUCAAAAAUAGUACUAGAAUGAGAAAGUCACAAAAAUGAUAUUCAUUAAAGAGUAAAAUAUCUCUAAUAACUUUGGUUUAAAAUUAAAUAAACAAACAAAAAUAAAUAAAAUAAAAAUAAAAAAAUGAAUUUUUUUUUAUAGUUUCAGAUUAUAUGUUUUCAGAUUCGAAAUUUUUAUUAUUUGUUUUUCAAAUUUUCUUUUUAUAAUUUAAAAAUACUUUUUGAAACUGUUUUUAAAAUUUUUAUUUUUAUUUUAGUAUUUAUUUUUUAUAAAAUUUUAAACCCUAAUUCCAAAACUCCACCCCUUAACUCUAAACCCUAAGGUUUGGAUUAAUUAACCCAAAAGUAUAAGUGUAUAUUUAUCUCUUUAAUGAAACAUAUUUUUGUGACUUUGACCCUUGAAUACUACUUUAGGAACAAAAACUUUGUUUGGUGCUAUCCUAGUCUUUUUCUCUUUAAAAUUGGCAGAGACAAACGCAAAAGAUAUAAAUAUAUAACUGUUACCUUUUUUAUUAAAAGUGAUAAGAUGAUAUAUUGAUAUGCUUGUUCUUCUUCAUUGAGGUGUUAUUCAUCUCAUGAAACAUUAUAAUUAAAGACUGAUUAUUAUUUCCAUGAUUGUACGGUUUAAGCUUUAUUACAUAUAUAUAUAUAUAUAUAUAUAUAUAUAUAAUUAUUUUACCAAAAUAUGUGUUCAAAAGGAUCUCUACAAAUUUUUAUUUUAUCUUGUCAUCUAAGGUAAUUUUUAUUAAUAUUCUUCCAGCUAAGAGAUUUGUACGACUGAUACUGCAGGGUUACGCUUUGUGAUUUCUUUCAUAUAAGGUGAUUAGCACUUGCCUGUUUGGUAUUUCACCAGGAAGUUCCAUAAAACGAACUGCACGUUCUUUAUAACUAGCAAAGACAGACUGGAAAUAAACACUUAGGAAUUAGAAAUUGAAUGAAAGAAAAGCUAAUUCACAUUUCCACGAGAUCAUAGAUAUGGAAUCAACACGAUCUAACAAUGAUAUGGUAUCAAGCGUAACCCUGCAGUAUCUAUUUUUAGUUAAAAAUAGAUAUUGGAAAACAAAGUUUUGGCAAAAGCUGAAGGAGAGUUGGGACUAAGGGAUGGAAACAUUACAACUAGAGCGUCAGCAAGGAUAUCGUGGGCAAACUGUUGCCUUCCAAAAGCCGAAGGAGGGUUGGGACUGAGGGAUCUCAUCUUAUGGAACAAAACUCUGAACCUGAAGCUCAUCUGGUUCCUGUUCCAAGAGAAUGAGUCCUUGUGGGCUUCCUGGUGUAAAGAACAUCGUUUAAAAGGAGUCAGUUUAUGGAGCCUCGAAGAGAACAAGCAAGGAUCAUGGAUUUGGAAAUCAAUAUUAAAAUUGCGUCACCUUGCUGUUCGGUUUCUUAGAUGCAACGUUGGGAAUGGUCGCUCAGCUAGCUUCUGGUAUGACCAAUGGACUCCAUUGGGACCUCUCAUCAACGUCCUCGGCCACUCGGGCCCUCGGGCAUUAGGAAUCCCACUUCACUCGUCAGUUGCUGAAGCCUGUACAGAUAUAGGAUGGAGGCUCAGACAUGCCAGAUCACCUGCAGCAGAAGCUCUCCAGCUUCAUCUAUGCACGGUACCUCUCCCUUCUACCUCUACUGCCUCUGAUGCUUAUGUGUGGGAAGUAGAUAAUGAGGUUGUAGAGGCUUUCUCAUCGAAGUCAACCUGGGAAGCUAUCCGCAACAGAAGAGAACCGCAGUCAUGGACUAAAAACAUUUGGUUUAAAGGUGCUAUACCUAGUCAAGCUUUCAUGAUGUGGAUGACGCAUCUUAACCGUCUUCCCACAAGGGAACGCACUUCCAUAUGGGCUGUAAACACACUUGAUGCAUGUUGUGUUUGCAAUGUGUACUUGGAAUCAAGAGACCAUCUCUUCCUGCGGUGUGAGAUCAAUGAAAACCUUUGGCUGCUAGUGCUUCGAAGACUGGGCUAUAACCCCUUCCGGUUUCAUACUUUGACGGCUUUUACGGAGUGGCUUGGACACAGAAACAAUGUUUGCCCGAUCACGCUUCGCCGGCUUGUGGCUCAAGCGACCAUUUAUUCUAUCUGGUGGGAGCGGAAUAACAGACUGCACAACUCGAUCUCCACCCCGGUCUUGAUUACCUUCAAAAAGAUUGACAGGCUUGUUCGCAACUCCAUCACUGCAAGGAAGAACCGCAAGAAGUUUAAGAAUCUAAUGGAACUUUGGCUAAUGUAUGAAUGAGCACCCCAAGCCACCAUAAUCACUUGUAAUCGUUCUCUGUUUUUCUUUUUUUCGCCAGAGGAAGAUUACCCCGCUUAACUUUUUUGUAUUUACAAACCUUCUCAUUUUUUUAAUGAAAUUCACAUACUUAGCAAAAAAAAAAAAAUUUGGCAAAAGGGAAAGCUUGAUAAGCAGAUGCACAAGCAUGGCCAUCUAAUAAAUUCAAAAAAGGAAACAUAUGCAUGAUACCGCACUUAUCACGGAAAUUAAAUAAUACCUAACACUUAAACUCAAAAAAAAAAUAUAUAUAUAUAGCAUGACUGAAAUUAAAAAAAACUGUAUAUAAAUUAUUACAAGAAUACGAAGAAAAUUAGGUCCAGUGAUACUGAUAAUGCCAAACUGUAUUCUAAGUAGAGUUGUCCCUUUGUGUCUAGUGCGCUUGUGAAUUAUAUAAAUGUGAAUAUAAAUUCCCAUAGCAUCUUUAUUUCUUUAUCCGUACAUGCCACAUGUUCACAUGUCAUCUUUGGGAAAGUUUCCUUUCAUAAAAUACUUCAUAUGUCGCUUUAUGUCUUAUUUUAUCUCUGUGUAUUUGUUUGCGUAUAUUACCAUUUUAAUAAUCAGUCUAUUUGGAUAAAUUGGACUAUGGGGGAAACAUAACCAAAUUAACUGACCUCGGUAAAAUGCAAGAGGCUUUGAUCGAUGCGAAUACUUUUAAGUUUAGCCUAGAGUGCUUAAACCUCCCAAAAUGAAUUAUCUUGAAGAAAGCGUCGUCAUCUCUUUUCGUAUGAUCUUUGUCACGUUAGUAG